UACGUAGGGUGCAAGCGUUAAUCGGAAUUACUGGGCGUAAAGCGUGCGCAGGCGGUUUUGUAAGUCUGACGUGAAAUCCCCGGGCUCAACCUGGGAAUUGCGAUGGAAACUGGGCAGCUAGAGUGUGUCAGAGGAUGGUGGAAUUCCCGGUGUAGCGGUGGAAUGCGCAGAUAUCAGGAGGAACACCGAUGGCGAAGGCAGAUCUCUGGGCCGUAACUGACGCUGAGGAGCGAAAGCAUGGGGAGCGAACAGG
rnacentral:rRNA from 1 species